rnacentral:lncRNA from 1 species
UCAUUUCUUUCCUAUUUAGUAUGUUGGCCCAUUUUAUCUUUAAAUUCACACUUUUUUGCCCCAAAUUUCCUUUUUCCUUUAAUUUAGUCCCUACAAGAUAAAAAACCAUAAAAAGCACAAAUUAGUAGGAUCAUACUCAAAGUAAAUAUGUAAUUAAUACAUAAAAACAUGUCAUUUCAGAGUAUUAUCAUGUAUCUUAUUUUGAAAUCAAAAAUCAAAAAUUUUAUAAAACUUGCUUUAUUCCUUUGGUAAGAAUAUUUGUCAAAAGAAAGGCGUGUGUGAAGAUUUUGAAAUGUUGUCUUAUACAACUCAAUUUAUUUAAAAACAUCAUGCUAUCGACUUUAUUUACUUGUUUUUGAAAAAACGUGAAUUUCGGUUAAAACUUUGUAGUGGAGAGUUUCUUAGGCUUGUUUAACCAUGAAAAUCAGAGGUUAGUUUUUUAAUUGUUAGAAAACAUGUCAAAUUUUAGAACAAGUAAUUAAAAUACUUAACAAAUCCCAAAAACCAAAAUUAAAGCUCGAAAAAUAGUCCAAUUGUCCAAAAGUUCAUAAAACAUAAACUAAGAGUUAUUGAAUAAGUUUUAUAUAGAAAAACUGAACCAAGCUCCUAAACGCCAUCAAAUCCUAAGUCAAAGGGUUACCUGAAAAAUUAAACAAACAAAGUGAGCUAAAAAGCUCAGUGUGUGCCUUGACCCAUAAGUAAAAUCACAUAACAGAAUCAUGGUUAGAUGCAUAUAUCAAAUCAAACAGACCAGAAAUUUCAAAAUGCUUAGUGUAAGUACCCAAAUUUACCCUGGCCCAACACCAUUAACCAGCCCAAACAAUUAAAAAAUAUAUAUAUAAAAACAAAAAAAACCAAAUAAUUAAAUGUCCACUGUCCCUUAUUACAUCAGCCCAAAUCUGCCAAAAUAAACAAGCCCGAAACAAAACUAACCCUAAGGCCCAAACAGCCCAAAAACUAAAACAAAUUCAGUCAAAACCCUAGCCCCUAUUUGCCUCGCGCCGCUCCCCCACGUACGGCCUCCAUUGCACCUCCGUACGCCAGCGCACUGCCUCCAUACACGCGCCACGCACACCACAUACCUGCAAAAAGGGACAAACACAAAACAAAAAAGGAAAAAGAAAAAAAGAUUGUAUUUUUUUGGUUUUCAUUAUUCGACUAUAAAGCCUUUUUUAUUUUUGGUUGUAAGGGCUCCCUCUUUUACACACACACAUACUGAAUAGAAAAAAAUGAUUCAAAAAUUUUAAAGGUGAUUUCUGACUCGAGUUUUCUGGGUUUUUUUAAGUUAGCUUUUAGAUUAUUUCUUUUUGGGUCUUUUAUUUUCGCAUUUGAAAACAAAAGGAAAAGGGAAAGAGAAAUCUUACCUUACGAAAACUCCAUGGGUUUCCUUUCACUUUGUUGAAAUCAAGGCUGAGAGGGAAUCCUAAGGCUAAAAUGAUCGCUAGAGCUCGAAUACAUUGGUCGCCUACUGUGGUGGUGGAUCGGUGUUUGAGUAAAAGAGGAUUAGUGUUCGGCCGAAUAGGGAAUAAGGUGUUUAUGUUUUUUUUUUUACUUUUGUUCCUAAAUGGCUAAGUGUAUUAGUUAGGGUUUGUUUUGGUGUUAAUAAUGUAU